UCUAGUCUUUCAUUCAAUUAGGGAUUAGGCAUUAGGGAAUUAGAAUUUAGAAAGGAAGGCACAAUCUUGGAAACAAGUGACAAUGGAGAGGUUCCUAAGGUUGAAGAACAGAGUUCUAAAAGAGGAUCUCAAGAUAAUCCGAAAGAGAUUCGAGUGGAUAAUGAGGCAAAAAGCUCCUUUGCUAAAAAAGCCAAAACCCCUAAACCAAAUCUGAAGAAUUCAGCUCGAAAGGUACAUCCAACUAUAGAGGAUAGGAUAUCAGCUGGAACAAAAAAAAGAUUGUAUCACCUGAGACAAAAUCUUCAAGAAUUUCCACUCCAACAUCAAAUCAAAUAUCGACAACAAAUGUUACUUCUUCAUCUCAACAAUCAGUGAAGAAGUUAAAUGGGGUGUCAUAUCAACGAAGCAGCAAUACUCCUGUGUAUAGCAAGUAUAGGAUUUGCAAAUGUGUAAUUGCCUCAGAUCAUAGUGGUUGUUGGUUUGUAAAUUAUUUCUUGAAAGUACAUAGUUCUAUCUUUUUGUUGGUAAUUCGUUUAGUUUCCCUUCUAAAUUGCAGCCUUUUGACCUUUUCUUUAUUUACUGAAUCAGUGAAUUCAAAUUGCGAA